GGGUCAUAUAUGUGAAGGUCUGUUAGAUAAAAUAAUUGAGGAAUGUAUCGCGACCUUAGGUCUAUUGUGCCCUCUCCUGGCUCACAGGGACUCACUUAGCCCCAGCAUAUUAAUGAAGUCCAAUAUCCUACUGGGUGCUAACGAGGCGAUGUGAUCCUUUUCCAGAUACAUGGAUCCAAGGGCCUUUGACCUGCGCCUACAGACAGAAGAACUGAUUAACAGAUGUGAUUUUUCCAAUCAGGAAAAAGAAACGACAAUGGGUUAAAGUAUGGAGAACAACCAACAGUUUCACAUUAAUUUUUAAUGAAGGAACUACUGCACAUUGAUGUAAAUGAACACAAAAAUUAUUAAGAAUGUCAAAGAUGCAGUAUAAUUUCAUAUUAUCUGCAAUACAGGACGACAUAAUAAAGCAAGAUACUGUGACGUCAGCUGCAAUUUCUGCAACGGAAAAGCUCUCACUGAUCUUCCGUUUUCUCGCAACGGGAGAAUCAUUUCAAAGCUUAAAUUUUGGGUCAAAAAUUUCCCGAAUCAAAUAAUUCCCGAAGUUUGUGACGCUAUUUACAAAAGACUGAAGGCCUUAUAUUUGAAGUUUCCGAGCAAUGCGGUAGAGUGGGUAUCAAUUGCAAACUCUAAAGGCACAAACAGUAUAGUUUUGUUGGCCUUGGUUGAUGCAAAUUGCAAAUUCAUUUACGUGGAUAUUGGGUGUAACGGUCGAUGUAAUGAUGCAGGAGUGUUCCUUCAAAGUGAACUCGCUUUGUUACUACGAGAAGAUAGACCAAACUCU